rnacentral:rRNA from 1 species
GACGUAGGGUGCAAGCGUUGUCCGGAUUUAUUGGGCGUAAAGAGCUCGUAGGCGGCUUGUUGCGUCGACUGUGAAAACCCGCGGCUUAACCGCGGGCUUGCAGUUGAUACGGGCAGGCUAGAGUUCGGUAGGGGAGACUGGAAUUCCUGGUGUAGCGGUGAAAUGCGCAGAUAUCAGGAGGAACACCGGUGGCGAAGGCGGGUCUCUGGGCCGAUACUGACGCUGAGGAGCGAAAGCGUGGGGAGCGAACCGG